CCCUAGCCACUCUCCUCCCAUCUAGCCCUCGUAGCGGCGGCCGCUCCCUUCUCAGAUCUGCUGCACCGCGUGCCGACGCCUCCCUUCCACUUCACCUCCCUCUUCCUUCCUCAGAUGUGCCGCCGCCCUCGAUACCCCUCGCCACCACCGAAUCGAGAGGACUACACGCGCAUGGAGGAAAGGGAUGUGGGAGGGAGAGGGAGAGAGAGACGGAGCAGGCAAGCCCUAACCCCUCCAAUGGCUGACUCCGACGAGGCGCCGCUGUCGGUGCACCGCCGCCUGCCGUGGCCCGCUCGCAGGAGUGGGGGCGCGAGCCCUUAGCGGCAGCGCUGCGCCGCCGGGUGAGGUCAGGCGCCUCGGAGGCCGCACGCACUAGCUUCGCCGCCGACUCUGGGGACGAGUCCAUUGCCAGCGAGCCCUCCUCAUCUGGGGACGCACCAGAGACGCUUCGUCAGCCGGCGGUGGUGCCGAGGGUUGGAGCAGGCUAUUCAAGGACCAUGACCUCUCCAUGCUCUGCUCACCGAUUCAACUACACGAUCAGAUGUGGUAGAUGCUUAGCAUGAUGAGCCCUACCCCUGAAUCGUAGAAUUUUUGUUUGCUUCCUGACCAGAGCGCAUCCUAUGAAGUAUGAUAUGCAUGCACAGAACCUGUUUGAUUAAAUGCCUUUAUGCUCAGCAACUAUUACUGUGAUACAUUUAGUUGUUUUUCUGCACAUGUUGCUCUAUUGAGCUUCAAGCAUGAUUGUCGGCAAGGUGGAACUGCUGAGUAGGCUCUGAUAUCCAUAUAUGUUGGGCCUAUUGGCCAUUGUUCUGAAGGUGGACAAAGGCUACUUGUGUAUGAGUUCAUGGCAAAUGGGGGGCUCCAGGAGCACCUCUAUCCAAACAGAGGUUCCUGUGGUGGGAUCUCAAAAUUGGACUGCGAUACAAGAAUGAGAAUUGCACUUGAAGCAGCAAAAGGUUUGGAAUAUCUUCGUGAGCGUGUUAAUCCACCUGUCAUACACAGAGACUUCAAGAGCAGCAAUAUUCUUCUGGGCAAGGACUUCCAUGCAAGAGUUUCAGACUUUGGUCUAGCCAAACUUAGAUCUGAUAGAGCUCGUGAUCAUGUCAACUCAAGUUUUAGACACACAAGAUUAUGUUGCGUACCUUUCUCUAUAAGCGUUUCAUGAUUACACAUGAUCUAUUGGAUUUGAUUGUGUUUUUCUGUUUACAAAACUUGUACAAAAUUAUGAAGAUGACAUUAUGAGUUUUUUUUUGCUAAUCCUGUGCCAGAAUUAUAAUGCUAAAAUGGGCUUCAUGGGUUGGAAUUGUAA